CGAAAGUCGCCUCAACGGAAAAAGGUAAAGGACAUUGUGAUUCUGCUGAUUUGAUUCUGCCAUUCUGCUGAAGACCAUUGAAGAGGAUUGACAGGUAUUUUUCUGUAGAUUGAAAAAUCCGCUCGCAUCCAGCAUUUCUUCAGGCAUUCCUUUCUGAAAAAGCAUGAUUAGCCAAAAAUGUGUCCAUGGAAAUUUUUCCAGCAGUAAAAUGCAGGAAAUCCUUGUUUCCCGUCUAAAAUUGCUCGAUUUGCAGAUUCCGACAGGUCGAAUCGAGAAGCAAAAGCAAGUCUGCAUUUCAAUCGGAAAUCUGUUUCAAAAAUCCAAUUUUCGCUUGCCUGGACGUUGAUUAAAAGUUGCCAACCAAUAAGAAAAGAAAUCCUGGCAGCGAGUCUAAUUAGAACUUAUGAUUAUGUACAUUAUUAAAAACUGGAACAAAUUUGGAAGAUAAUGAUGGUUCGAAAGAUUAUAUCAGGAUCAUGAACAAAAUCCUGAAUGAUAAGGUACCUAAAAAUAUAAGUUCCAGGAUUCGUUUCAUGAUUCAAAACAAUGGAGGCGGCGACAGGGGAAAAAGGGAUGGAAUAGGUGAAUGUUCCGGAUAUUGGUGACUAAAUUCAUAAUCCAAAGUGAGAACUAUAUUCUGCUGAGACUUUGAAACAUAAAGAUUUGGCGAAAUACUCGAAAUUAUUGAUAUCCUGAUCAUCAGUAUUCUUAAGAUUCGGAUUUAAUUCGCCAAAAUGAAGGGUUUCCUGGACAGUAUUUCGACUUUGCUGUUGUUUCGCGGGAAGAUGCCGCAUGUUCAGGUUUGCCCUGACAAAAUUUGUCAGAAGCGAGUGAAUGUAUAGAAAGAAUUAUAGUUAAAUGCGUGUCCUGAUUACACUUCAGUGAAGGAGAAUUGGUUUAAUUCGAAAUCUGCGGUUAUAUGCUCUUCAACUAAACGCUGUUCCGGCCGGUGGGCCUACAAAACAAUAGUAAUCUGUUCUAAGUGCUGUGAACUACAAGAGAGAAGAAAAGCAGUUCAUAUUUUUUGCUAAUGAUACUCUGUAGUGUUUUUUGUAUAAAGUUUCAAAAAUCGUAGUUAUCCAGAAGUAUCGUUUAGUAUAGUGAAAUUUAAUGUGUUUCACGCUAGCCAAAUUUUUUAGGAAUUUUUCAGUACCUGUAGAAAAUCGCAUCUACUGGGCAUUGUACAUAACCAACAUUUACUUAUUUUUGUAAACAUGAAAACUAUGUAAAUUUUAUAAUGUGCUCGUAAUUUAUACAUAUAAUAAAAAGUACACACAAUUACAAAAA